UGAGCUUGAUCCUGGCUCAGGACGAACGCUGGCGGCGUGCCUAAUACAUGCAAGUCGAGCGCAGGAAGCCGGCGGAUCCCUUCGGGGUGAAGCCGGUGGAAUGAGCGGCGGACGGGUGAGUAACACGUGGGCAACCUACCUUGUAGACUGGGAUAACUCCGGGAAACCGGGGCUAAUACCGGAUGAUCAUUUGGAUCGCAUGAUCCGAAUGUAAAAGUGGGGAUUUAUCCUCACACUGCAAGAUGGGCCCGCGGCGCAUUAGCUAGUUGGUAAGGUAAUGGCUUACCAAGGCGACGAUGCGUAGCCGACCUGAGAGGGUGAUCGGCCACACUGGAACUGAGACACGGUCCAGACUCCUACGGGAGGCAGCAGUAGGGAAUCAUCCGCAAUGGGCGAAAGCCUGACGGUGCAACGCCGCGUGAACGAUGAAGGUUUUCGGAUCGUAAAGUUCUGUUAUGAGGGAAGAACAAGUGCCGUUCGAAUAGGUCGGCACCUUGACGGUACCUCACGAGAAGCCG
rnacentral:rRNA from 3 species